AUAAGCCCGAUGUCAGCCAGCGGAAUCAUGGAGUCUUCCGAGACCUUCAUGAGACAUCUGCCAAUCACACCAGGCUACAGUGGUUUCGUGCCCUACCUUAGCUGCCAGCAAGCCUCCAGCAAGGACAACAUGGCCCACUGUCUGAAGAUCUUCCAGGAGAGCACACAGCACUAUAAAAACCAGAUGGAGGAAUUUCGCUGCUCGGUGGCCACUGCCCCGAGGCUGAAGCCCGUCUGCUCCGAGGAGACCGUCCUGCGGGCGCUCUACCAGUACUAUCGGCAAUACCACCCCCUGAGUCUGGAAUGCAAAAACAGAAAGAAACCUUUCCAGGAGCCCCCGAUCCCUGGCUGGGCUGGCUACCUCCCGAGAGCCAGGGUCACCGAAUUGGGCUGUGCCACGCGGUAUGCUGUCAUGGCCAGAAACUGCUACAGGGACUUCCUGGGCAUCGUGGAGCAGGCCAAGAGGGCACACCUGAAGCCAUUUGAGGAAAUAUAUGGAGUUGGGUCCACACAACCUCCUUCUGCCCCUUCUCCAGAAGUUUUGCAGUAUGGAGGGCAGCUGCCCAAAUAUCCGGAUUUUUCUCUCCCAGGUGGGAGCUGUCUUGGCCACGGAAGACCCCUGACAGAGGACCCCAGACCUCCAGUGACGUGUGGCUGUGCCCAAAGGACAAAUAUGUCGUGCAACGGGAAGAUUUAUCUUGAGCCACUGUCCUCAGCAAAGUAUGCAGAAAGCUGAUGCAGACAGCCUCCCAGGGAGAGCCAGUGUGACCGAUACCCUGUAUCUCCAACCUGUCCAAAGACAUAUAAUCAGUUCAAUGAACUCAUCUUGUUGAAAAAAAAAAAAAUCAUCCCGUGGAAGGAUUCUUGCUCCUAGCUUGGAAUCCCCAGCCUGAAAUGUCAAUGGUGCCAAGGCCACCCCCACCAGGGAUCUUGCCACUGGCGUUCAGUUGAGUUCAGCUGGUAAGAGAUGUGUGCAGGAGAUCAGAAGACAGGAGGAAAGAGGGGGACCCAUCUCUCAUGCUCCCCUGCUGUCUCCUGGCUCUAGUACCAGACGUCUGGCAGUAAGUCCCCCCUCUAUGAUAACGUGUCACUCCAGGA